rnacentral:rRNA from 1 species
GACGAACGCUGGCGGCGUGCUUAACACAUGCAAGUCGAGCGACUGCAUUCUUUUCGGAGGGUGUAUGGAGCGGCGAACGGGUGAGUAACACGUGAGUAAUCUGCCUUUGGCUCGGGAAUAACUUCGGGAAAUCGGGGCUAAUGCCUGAUGUUUACUGUCUGCUGCAUGGUGGGUGGUGGAAAGAUUUUUUGGUCCAGGGAUGAGCUCGCGGUCUAUCAGCUUGNGGUGGGGUAAUGGCUUACCAAGGCUUUGACGGGUAGCCGGCCUGAGAGGGCGACCGGCCACACUGGGACUGAGACACGGCCCAGACUCCUACGGGAGGCAGCAGUGGGGAAUCUUGCGCAAUGGGCGAAAGCCUGACGCAGCGACGCCGCGUGA